rnacentral:lncRNA from 1 species
AGAGAAUACUUGCCCUGGAGCAACGUGAUGGAAAUAAAAACAGCCUGUUCCUCAGGCCACCAUGUGGAGGGAGACCAGCUACAGGAGAUAAGGACUCGGUGCUGGGGAACUUGUAACCAAUGCACCAAGACGGCUCUGUGUCUCGAGACGCAGGAGAAGAGACAGCGAGAGGAAGCUUGGGUGCCCCUCGGAUCAUCCCAACAACUCUGUCUGCGGGGGCCUGGAUACUAAAGGUAAUACUCUAAUUAGAAUUUAAUUUCUGCCACUUGAAAAAAAUGAUCCUAGAACAACUGCACAUUGUCGCAAGCCAUGUCUUAAAGUAACACUCAAAAUGCAAAUAUAUUCGGCACUUUUAGUGACCAAGAUACCCUAAAA